rnacentral:misc_RNA from 1 species
AACGCACAUUGCGCCCGCCAGCAUUCUGGCGGGCAUGCCUGUUCGAGCGUCAUUUCAACCCUCAAGCCCCUCCGGGUUUGGCGUUGGGGAUCGGCCACCGCCCAAGGCGGCUGUCCCCGAAAUCCAGUGGCGGCCACGCCGUAGCAUCCUCUGCGUAGUAGAAACACCUCGCACUGGGACGCGGCGCGGCCACGCCGUAAAACAAACCACUUCUGAAGGUUGACCUCGGAUCAGGUAGGAAUACCCGCUGAACUUAA